GUGUUCGUUGAAAGGAGAGACAGUUGGCAUCUCCUAAGAUAGAGACGGGAAUGGCUUACGAGCCUAUUCUGUUACCGAUCACAUGCGGUUAAGGCUACCCGCUUGGGCGGAUCUUACCCAAUUUUUAA